AAUUCUCAACCUUCAAMACUUUUUUGUUGCGAAGGCUUGGACUUGGAGGUCGUGUCGGCGUCGCUGUCGACUCCUCUGAAAUGCAUUAGCGUGAAUCUUACGGAUCGCCUUCGGUGUGAUAA
rnacentral:misc_RNA from 1 species